AACAUGGGCCCCAGCCAAAGCUGAGUAGGGGAGGGUGCCCGGGCCCUGACUCCCAAUCCCCUGGGGCUAGGAGACGGGUGCGUGUGCCUGCUUCCUCGACCCGGCUCCAGCCUUUCCCCCCUUUCGCAAAUCUGGACAGGAUAUGAUGCAGUUGGUCAUGUGUCAGCUCAGCCAGAGCACUUCAGUUGACUAUGACGUUAACCUUGGCCAGUUAGCUGUAAGUGAUCCCCAUUGGCCUUUGUAAAUUGCUCCCGCCACACUGUAGAUGUGAGACCGAAAGGCAGAGUGACCUGGAGCCAUUCUCUGUAGGGGCCAAAUGGUCACACUGCUGAAAUCAUCUCUUCGCCGCCCAUGGAAUGACCAGUUCCACAGGGAGGGCCCUGAGCUACCAAAGGAAAAUUGAACUGGAAUACUGUGUGUUGUGCCCAAAGUCGCUAAUCCCAGAAGACCACCAAGGAGUCAACACUGAUACAAAAGCAAAGAGCCUUUAUUCGAGCUAGCUCGAGCUCUAUCUCUCAUCUACACCAACGCAGUGGCAAGAUGCCAGAGAAAGAGAGCAGUUUCAAUAUCACAAAGGUUUUAUGGGGUUCUAGGGCAGUUGGUGGGGUGAUGGUCGUGGCUCUGGUCAAUUGGCAGGGUCUAAGGGUGGUGGGUGAGCUCUUUGCUGACUGGAGAGGAGAGAGACCAAGCUCCAAUUGGGUGAAAUAGGAUCCAGGUCCUGAUUGGCUGAGGUAGGAUCUGGGUCCCAAUUGGCUGAAAUAGAAUCUGGGAGCUUGCGUUUUCACUGUGGUUAUGGAUAAAAAUGUUUCUGAUAAAAGGCUAAUUUGCAAGUUUGAGUGAUUACAGGAGCAACCCAAGUUACCUGGAAAAACUAGAUUUCAUUGUUUCCUGCCAGGGCUGAAUUAAUGAGAUACCACUGCAUGAACUCACUCUUUUAUCAAGAUGUCCUUUAUGAUGUAGAAUCUGAAGUUGAUGGACCCAAGGCAUCCAGAGCCAUUCAUCUUGCAAUUAACACAUGUGUCUGUGUUUCUACAAAUCAUGAAUCUUCUUUGACACAGGAUAAGGGGCCGUUGUUUAUCCUGCAUCAUCACCAUAACACACUGGGGGUAAAGUGCAGUAUUUCCAGAAUCUCUCACCUGGCUUUAGUGCAUCUCCAUAUCAACAGGCGUUUCUAAGGGGUGGAGAUAAGUAGUUCAUCUCCAUAUCGAUGGGUAAUUACCUAGGCAAGACCUAGGGCUCAUCUGAAUCUGAGAGGUUGGGGGGAGCAUUCGCUUGCUUCUGCCUUGGCAGGAGAGAGGCAGAUACCUGACAGCUUUUUGUAAGCAAUAAACAGGUUUUAAACUUU